GACGAACGCUGGCGGCGUGGAUUAGGCAUGCAAGUCGAACGGUAGGAUACCUUCGGGUAUCUGAGAGUGGCGAACGGGUGAGUAACACGUAGGUGAUCUACCCUCAAGAUUGGGACAACCCAGGGAAACUUGGGCUAAUACCGGAUGAAAGCAGCAGUGAUGUUGUUUGAAAGGUGGCGUAAGCUGCCGUUUGGGGAUGAGCCUGCGCUCUAUUAGUUAGUUGGCGGGGUAAAGGCCCACCAAGGCGAUGAUAGAUAGGCGGCCUUAACGGGUGGUCGCCCACACUGGGAUUGAGAUACGGCCCAGACUCCUACGGGAGGCAGCAGUCGAGGAAUAGUCUACAAUGGCCGAAAGGCUGAUAGUGCGACGCCGCGUGAACGAAGAAGCCCUUCGGGGUGUAAAGUUCUUUUAUAUGUGAGCAGUGCUUUCUAUGUGAACAGCAUGGGGAAGAGAUAUUAGCAUAUGAAUAAGCAACGGCUAACUCCGUGCC
rnacentral:rRNA from 1 species